rnacentral:lncRNA from 1 species
CAGCACAGUCCCCAAAAGUAAAGGGAGCUGAGAAGGGGAGAGGGACCAUGGGGCCAGCGAGGCGGCCCAGCCAGGGGUGCACAGGGAGCUGACCAGGAGCCCGCAGCGGGGCUCUGGGACUUGAGCCUCUGUGCCGCUGACCCUAGGGCCCCUCCUUCUGCGUGAUCGUAACCCUCCCCCGUCACGGGGACCUGACCCACCAAGGACAGGAGCUGCUGGGGGGCGGUGCGGCCUCCCCCUCCUGCACCCCACUCCGCCAGCUCCCGCCAUUGCUGAUGUUUCGCUUUCUUUUAAGCAAAGUGGACACGUGUUGCAGUGCCUGGACCCCGUGGAUGGUCCCCGUGGACCGUCCUCUGCACUGCACUCAAGUCUGCGCGACGAGUAGACCCCACUUAGAACGAGGGAACCCUGGACCCGUGGCACCCGGCCAGCGCCUUCCUGUCCCCCCACGUCCAUCUGGGACCUCAGGGCCCCCAAACCUCCCCCGUGCUCUUUCUCACACACCCUCCCGAGUGACCAGUGUCCUCAGACCCCGCCCCCCUGAGUAUGACCCCUGGGGAAGGCCAGCAAGUAGGAAAGGUCCUGGCCCCCUUGACCCCACAAACAGGGGUCCUGCAGCCUCCCGGGGAACUCAACAGCUCAGCCACGAGCCCCCAUCUUCCGGGCAGUGGGCAGCCCCCGCCCAUGCCAGCUGGGAAGCUGGCCCCUAGGGAGGGGUUGCCAGGCGACCGGUCGCGACUGCUCCCAGGGCCUGCUGGGUGGCCACGUCACCUGGCAACCAGGUAGCAGCGUCCCUGGAGCCCAG